rnacentral:lncRNA from 1 species
GUACAAAGACUGAAAAGGAAUGGAAUGUAUUUUUCAAAAGUGAUAAAUCCUUGAGAGAAGACACAAUGUAUGACCAAUCCCAUAUGGUAUAAAUUUCAGCACUACAAGUUUCUCAGAUAAUUCAGAUGUCAUGGUUCCUUUGGCUCCUUCAAUAGAAACAGUAAAGGGCCCUGGACUCAAACUCCCUCUGUGCAAGUCCUGGCUGUGUUUCUUGCUACCGGCGUAAUGUGCUAUUUAAGCAGCAGUGCAUGUCUCCUCACAUUUGAAAAUAUUGAUUGGGUCUUGAAGACAGAAUAACAAGCGCCAGAACUCAAGCAUUUUGCCAGGAGUGGUGCUGCCUCAUCAGUACUUCAGAUCCAGGCAGGGAAACUGUCAGCAGAACUGCUCCAAAGUCUGCUUUGUGAAAUGCACAUAAGCGGUCUCCCAGACCCACUUUCCAUCCUUCUCCUUUCUGAGGAGGAGGUGGUUAGAAAAAAAAGAAGAAGACAACAAAAGAGUAGAUGAGAGAGAUGUGGCAAAAGAAGAGGCAGAAGAGAAGAGGCAAGAGAAGGAUUCUCCCACCCAUUGCUGUCUUUAGAGAUGCAGGCUAUGAGCCAAAAAGCACAGAUAGCUCCGGAAGCUGAGGACAAGCCACACUGCCCACACUCCCGCAACUGCCCAGAACUGAAUUUUGCCAAUUACCUGCAUAAAUCAGAAAAUGGAUGCUCACUAGAGUCUCCAGAAGGGAGCCUGGCUUGCUGACACCUAGAUUUUUGUCUUGUGAGACUGAUCAGAGGAAUUAUCCCAGCACACUUGACUUCUGAAAUUGUGAUAUAUCUAUGCCUGCAGAAACCCAUGACAUGCAGAAACUAUGAGUUAAUAAAUGAAUGUUGUUUUAAGCCAUCA